GAAAUGCGAUACUUGGUGUGAAUUGCAGAAUCCCGUGAACCAUCGAGUCUUUGAACGCACAUUGCGCCCCCUGGUAUUCCGGGGGGCAUGCCUGUCCGAGCGUCAUUGCUGCCCAUCAAGCACGGCUUGUGUGUUGGGUCGUCGUCCCCUCUCCGGGGGGGACGGGCCCCAAAGGCAGCGGCGGCACCGCGUCCGAUCCUCGAGCGUAUGGGGCUUUGUCACCCGCUCUGUAGGCCCGGCCGGCGCUUGCCGAACGCAAAUCAAUCUUUUCCAGGUUGACCUCGGAUCAGGUAGGGAUACCCGCUGAACUUAA
rnacentral:misc_RNA from 1 species